rnacentral:rRNA from 1 species
CCUACGGGAGGCAGCAGUAAGGAAUCUUCCGCAAUGGGCGAAAGCCUGACGGAGCAACGCCACGUGGGCGAUGAAGGCCUUCGGGUCGUAAAGCCCUUUUCUGUGGGACGAUAAUGACGGUACCACAGGAAUAAGCCACGGCUAACUACGUGCCAGCAGCCGCGGUAAUACGUAGGUGGCUAGCGUUAUCCGGAUUCACUGGGCGUAAAGAGCGCGUAGGCGGUGUGCUAAGUUGGACGUGAAAGCCCCCGGCUAAACCGGGGGAGGUCGUCCAAUACUGGUGCACUUGAGGGUGGACGGGGAAAGCGGAAUCCCGGGUGUAGUGGUAAAAUGCGUAGAUAUCGGGAGGAACCCCAGUGGCGAAGGCGGCUUUCUAGACCACUCCUGACGCUGAGGCGCGAAAGCGUGGGGAGCGACCGGGAUGAGAUCCCCUAGUAUU